rnacentral:misc_RNA from 1 species
UGCUGUCUUCAGUCUCUUCCGUCAAAGCAUCGACCUGUAUCUUCUUGGACCCCUCCGCCUCUAAAUCACCUCAAGUGGAACGUUGAAGGUUCCUCCCUAGGUAAGCCCAGCCCUAGUGCUGUUGGUGGAGUUUUGAGAGGUCCAGAUGGUAACCUUCUCUACUUGUUCUCCUGUCCAUCUAGGAUUGAUGAUUCAAACGCUGCAGAUCCAAACCAGAG